rnacentral:rRNA from 1 species
GGAGCUGAAAUCAGUCGAAGAUACCAGCUGGCUGCAACUGUUUAUUAAAAACACAGCACUGUGCAAACACGAAAGUGGACGUAUACGGUGUGACGCCUGCCCGGUGCCGGAAGGUUAAUUGAUGGGGUUAUCCUCACGGAGAAGCUCUUGAUCGAAGCCCCGGUAAACGGCGGCCGUAACUAUAACGGUCCUAAGGUAGCGAAAUUCCUUGUCGGGUAAGUUCCGACCUGCACGAAUGGCGUAAUGAUGGCCAGGCUGUCUCCACCCGAGACUCAGUGAAAUUGAACUCGCUGUGAAGAUGCAGUGUACCCGCGGCAAGACGGAAAGACCCCGUGAACCUUUACUAUAGCUUGACACUGAACACUGGUCCUUGAUGUGUAGGAUAGGUGGGAGGCUUUGAAGUGUGGACGCCAGUCUGCAUGGAGCCAUCCUUGAAAUACCACCCUUUAAUGGCUGGUGUUCUAACGUAGACCCGUAAUCCGGGUUGCGGACAGUGUCUGGUGGGUAGUUUGACUGGGGCGGUCUCCUCCUAAAGAGUAACGGAGGAGCACGAAGGUUAGCUAAUCCUGGUCGGACAUCAGGAGGUUAGUGCAAUGGCAUAAGCUAGCUUGACUGCGAGCGUGACGGCGCGAGCAGGUGCGAAAGCAGGUCAUAGUGAUCCGGUGGUUCUGAAUGGAAGGGCCAUCGCUCAACGGAUAAAAGGUACUCCGGGGAUAACAGGCUGAUACCGCCCAAGAGUUCAUAUCGACGGCGGUGUUUGGCACCUCGAUGUCGGCUCAUCACAUCCUGGGGCUGAAGUAGGUCCCAAGGGUAUGGCUGUUCGCCAUUUAAAGUGGUACGCGAGCUGGGUUUAGAACGUCGUGAGACAGUUCGGUCCCUAUCUGCCGUGGGCGCUGGAGAAUUGAGGGGGGCUGCUCCUAGUACGAGAGGACCGGAGUGGACGCAUCACUGGUGUUCGGGUUGUCAUGCCAAUGGCAUUGCCCGGUAGCUAAAUGCGGAAGAGAUAAGUGCUGAAAGCAUCUAAGCACGAAACUUGCCCCGAGAUGAGUUCUCCCUGAC